UCACUCGCUCAGUCAGCUGUGAGAUUAGUGGCUCCACUCACUGUACUGCCUGCUGACUGCACAGAGACUGGAGCAGACCUCAGAGGCACUGCAGAGAAACAACAUGAGCAAUAACACCCAGACAUCGGAUCAUUCUCAGUACCAGCUUCCAAGCACUCUAUGCUGAGGAAGAGGUGCUGAAGCAGAUUGAGAUGGAGGUGCGAAUGCGGGAGGGAGCCAGUAAGCUACUGGCAGCUUGUUCCAGGAGAGAGCAGGCCCUGGAGGCCUCCAGGAGCCUGCUAACCUGCAAUGCCCGCAUUCUGGCCUUGCUCAGCCAACUACAAAGGAUGAGGAAAGCUCAAAUACUACAAAAAGUGGGACGCAGGCCAUCUGAAGAUGUUGUGCCAUGUGUAGGAAAAGUAUCCCUUUCAGACUUGCGAAUCCCACUGAUGUGGAAAGACUCCGAGUACUUCAAAAACAAAGGAGAGCUACAGCGCUGCGCUGUUUUCUGCUUGCUUCACUGUGGUACAGAGAUCUAUGACACUGAUCUGGUGAUGGUAGACAGGACUUUAACUGACAUCUGUUUUGAAGACACUAUCAUAUUCAGCAGCGAGGUAGGCCCAGGGUUUCAGCUUCGCGUUGAACUGUACAGCAGUUGUACGGUCGAGGAUUUCUCCCCGGGGGCUCUAGGACCCAGGAGAGCGAACCGUCUGGGGGGCUCAGUGGGAUGCUCCUCGGGGAAAAAGAUCCGUGCUGCGUUUGAGUCUGCAGCUGUUUGUGGAUCCAGUGGAGGAAAUGUAGAACCUGGAAGAGUGUCCCCGCCUUUAUCCCCUGACCUGUCUACACUGGGGCCUAAGUAUAACCUGCUGGCUCACACAACACUGAGAAUAGAACACGUCCAGGAAGGUUUCAAGACGCAUGAUUUGUCACUGGCAGCAACAGAGAAUAAUCCAUUCUGGUUGCCCCUAUACGGCAACAUGUGCUGCCGUCUAGUUGCUCAGCCGCUGUGCAUGAUUCAGCCAACGAUAAGUGGCCAACUCAAGGUUAAGCUUGGAGAGGACCUUAAUUGCUGGGAAAAUGUCUAUGGAGUCCUCAGGGAGCAAAGUCUUCUCUGCUAUCAGAGUCAAGAAGACCUGGAGUCUGAGGACAAGCUAUUACUUGUAAUCCCCAUCAAAAAGCAUACCCUUGUCUGUGUGUCAGAGAGGGAUCCUGUCGAUCACCAGAGUAUAUAUAUCAGCACACAGCAUCAAGGAGAGGAACUAACCUUCACGCUAACCACGCACACACCUGAAGACACGCAGCGCUGGACCCAGGCCAUCUGGCAGCACGUCUACAACAUGGGCCAGUGGAAGCAGUGUUGUGAUCACCUCAUGAAGAUUGAAAUGCCGAGCUCCAGGAAAGCCAUUCCAGUGAAGCAGGGAUCGCUAUACCAUGAAAUAGUAACGCCCUCCUCUCCUGGAGAGGGGCUUGUGGUUCCGGAUUUAUCUGCGGAGAUCCGCACUUUGCUCUCUUCCUACUACAAGGAAAGGGUUCCAGAAAAUUGUCUUUGACAAGGCUCCAGUUUCAAAGAGACAUUCAUACGGACAUAUAAAAACAAGACAUGGAGUGUUGAGUUAUUGAUGACGCUGCCACAGUCGCACUGGAGGAGUGAGAAACUGUUCUUAUUUUAUUCGUUUGUGGUUACCACGCCUGGUCAAGGAAACGGACAUGGACAUGAUAAAUGGUGCUAUUUCAAAAUUUUACCCAACCAGCAGUAUUGGUAACAAAAAAAAAAGGGAGUGAAAGAUGACAAGUGUGAGUCGGAAAUAUCUACCCCAAGCUGACUGUACAUUUUAAAUGCGGAAAAAACUCCCUGUACCAUUGUCUCGCAAUAUUGUACAUUUUGUGCAUGUAAAGAGAGACCAGUACACGUACCAAGUUAUUCUGUUCAUCAGUUCCAGUACAGUAUAUUGAUGUGAUAAUUCACUGAAUUUGCCCAGUGUUUGGAAGACGUCUGCAGUGACGAAUGGAAGACUAUUCUGCCACUAAUGUGUUGCUCAUUUGAAUUUCAAGUGUUAUAAUAAAGCCAUACAAAAGAAAUCAA